rnacentral:misc_RNA from 1 species
GAUGAAGAACGUAGCGAAAUGCGAUACGUAAUGUGAAUUGCAAAUUCAGUGAAUCAUCGAGUCUUUGAACGCACAUUGCGCCCCCUGGUAUUCCGGGGGGCAUGCCUGUCCGAGCGUCAUUGCUGCCCUCAAGCACGGCUUGUGUGUUGGGCCCCGUCCUCCGAUCCCGGGGGACGGGCCCGAAAGGCAGCGGCGGCACCGCGUCCGGUCCUCGAGCGUAUGGGGCUUUGUCACCCGCUCUGUAGGCCCGGCCGGCGCUUGCCGAUCAAACCAAAUUUUUUAUCCAGGUUGACCUCGGAUCAGGUAGGGAUACCCGCUGAACUUAAGCAUAUCAAUAAGCGGAGGA